CCAUUACUGUGUCUGAGAGUGACGCAGCUUGGCUGCCAGAAAAGUUUCUCAAUCAGAAGCUAGUUUACUUGGAUCAAGAAGCUUCCAACAGCCAAGAAGAGGAUAUGAAAAGCUGGUGAUGUGGAGAUAUUAGCUGUCACCGAUGUCGUAUGGACUGAAUGACAGCCGGUGCAAUCAAUUCCUUGGAAGAAGUUGGAGACAUAUCCUUACCAACUCAACAGAACCUUUAGGAGUAAUGGUCUCUUGAAGUCUCGAGGAGUGUUCCCAGAAGCACGUUGGCACUGGAUUGCUCUUGGUAAGCCUCAUGCAGUACUUUCCAAAGAGGCCUUGGCAAAGAAACAAGCCACCGAAACUGGAGAGGUCUUUGAAUUAUUGUCAACAGGAAAGAGCUAUAUUGGUGUAGCUAAUGAAAGAAUAGAUAUUGUGUUAGUCGAUCUUACUAAUUAGCGAGGAAUGGUUCUUCUUUUUAAACCCCUCUCAGUUACAUCUGAUAAAAUCAUAUAUGCAGUUGACAUG
rnacentral:lncRNA from 1 species